AGAGUUUGAUCCUGGCUCAGGACGAACGCUGGCGGCGUGCUUAACACAUGCAAGUCGAACGGUAAGGCCCUUCGAGGUACACGAGUGGCGAACGGGUGAGUAACACGUGGGUAAUCUGCCCUGCACAUCGGGAUAAGCCUGGGAAACUGGGUCUAAUACCGAAUAGGACCACAGAACACAUGUCCUGUGGUGGAAAGCUUUUGCGGUGUGGGAUGGGCCCGCGGCCUAUCAGCUUGUUGGUGGGGUGAUGGCCUACCAAGGCGACGACGGGUAGCCGGCCUGAGAGGGUGUCCGGCCACACUGGGACUGAGAUGCGG
rnacentral:rRNA from 1 species